GACGAACGCUGGCGGCGUGCUUAACACAUGCAAGUCGAACGGCAGCGCCCUGCUUUCUUGGGCUGCCCGAGUGGCGAACGGGUGCGUAACAGGUGAGUAACCUGCCCUUGACUUUCGGAUAGCUUCAGGAAACUGGGGCUAAUACCGGAUCGGAGCUCCUGCUGCAUGGUGGGGGUUGGAAAGUUUCGGCGGUUGGGGAUGGACUCGCGGCUUAUCGGCUUGUUGGUGGGGGAGUGGCUUACCAAGGAUUGGACGGGUAGGCGGCCUGAGAGGGUGAACGGGCACAUGGGGACUGAGAUACGGACCAGAGGCGUACGGUAGGCAGUAGUGGGGAAUAUUGCACAAUGGGCGCAAGCCUGAUGCAGCAGCGCCGCGUGCGGGAUGACGGCCUGCGGGGUGUAAACCGCAUCCGCCUGUGACCAAGCGUGAGUGACGGUAAUGGGUAAAGAAGCACCGGCUAACUACGUG
rnacentral:rRNA from 1 species